CCGCGCUCCCCCGUUGCGCACCAUUAUUUUCCGUGCGGCCGCGUUGAGGCGGGCGGGGCCUGUGGAGGCCGCGGUGCCGCCGCCGCCGCCCCUUCCUCAGGUGGCUCCCAGCGCUCCGGACCGAUUUUGGUUGAAAGGGCGCUACUCAAGAUGGAAGUUGGGGGUUGCCACCUGCGCGCCUCACAGGCUUCCAUGGAGGCGGGGGUGAGAGUGGCUUGUUGUGCUUCAAGAUCUUUCACGCUGGUCCAGGUUGCCCAGAGAAGCUGUGGCUGCCCCAUCCCUGGAGGGGUUCAAGGCCAGGUUGGAGGGGGCUUGGAGCAACCUGGGCUGGUGGGAGGUGUCCCUGCCCAUGGCUGUGGUUGGAAGUGCGUGAUUUUUAAGAUCCCUUCCAGCCCAAACCAUCCUACGUCCUGUGUGUGGAGUCACAAGCCUCGCAGGCUGUGGUCAGGGCACAUCAGUAAUUCCGUCAGUGUGAUGCUAAAGGAAUUUCGGCUCAUAUAAAACAAGUAAAAUAAAAUACUUAGAAUCGCCAGCCCCAAAGGGGCAGGAGGCGGAACUGGAGUUUAAAAACCAGCCAGACAAACUUGCAAGGCUUUCAAAAGCGAGAACUGGCAGCAAACAUUGGAAACUAGACUUUUUUUUAAAAAGCGUAUGGAAAUAAGCAGUGUCUUAGCAGUAACAAAAAUAUGCCCUAGGCUCCAAAACUAAUGUGGUUUUUGCUGUACUGCUGUUCUUCAGCUAAUAAUGGGGAACCCACCUAGGCUUUUUAUAUCAGGUCUGUGUAUCUUCAAUCUGACAGAAGCAAAACAAAAAUCAGUGCGUGUGUGUUGGAUGCAAGGAAACAAACCGUGUUAGCGUUGGAGUCAGAGCUAGAUCCUCUCUAGAGAAAAUGGCAUCAGUCCCUAGAAAUUGGGUGUACCUAAAUCAGUCUGUGCCAGGGGUGUUUUGGCGGGGGGGAAUGUUCACCUUUGCUGUCAAGCAUCUUCUCCCUUUAAACAGUGUGAUAUUAACUGCUGGAGCACAGAAUAAUAUUUUGAAACAGUGGUCAAGGUAUACUCGAGCUAUAAAAUAGCUACUCUUCUCUCAUCGCUUCAGCCUGCGAAAUGUAGGAUUCCCCAUCCUGCGUUUAUGCUGUUCUACUGGAAUCGGUAGGAUUUUUCAACUAGAGUAGUAAUGGUGGUGUAAAAACACCUCAAAGUGGGAGCGAAUGGUUCAUUAGUUACACAGCUUCCUUCCUUUUCAAAAGUCACCAUUGUAUGUACAGAAUUUCUUCGUAUUUUUUUUACCAACUUUAUUGUUGUUUUUUUUCCCAGCAACAGCGGAUUCUUUAAUGAUUAAUCUACAAAUGGUGGUAAAUCUGCGAGUUUUGGCAUAUAUGUUUAAGUCAUCUGUGUUGUCUUACGUCAGUAUUGCAUAAUCUGUUGACUGUCCCCUUUUUAUGUAAUGUAUGUUUGUAGUUUGUUUUAAAAUGUACAAAUAUUUUUUUUCCACUGCGUGCUUCUCCUCAGAUACUUCAUAUUUGUCUCUCCAUUGCCCUCUUGAGUUAAAAACUUGUUAAGACACCAUUUGGGUAGCUGGAUCCAGCGGAGUGUUACGUAUUUCUCUUUUUAAAAACAGUCUCCAUAACAUCUCAGAACACGCUCUUUUCCUGGUAAGUUAUUUCGAGCGUUAACACCGUGUUGGGAGUUUCUGCUCCCUCCUGGUAGAAAUGUGGGAGCGAUUUGUACUGGUGAAGUCCAUCAACAUCAUAAAUUAACUUUCUAUAAAAAGUUAAUAACACUUUAGCUUUUACUACGUAGAACCGUUGAGUUUGUUUUAAACUUGUUUCAGAACUUUAUGUAUUUGAUUGCCGUAUCCAAAGGACGGGGAGGGGUGUAGGAACAGUUUCAUGUGCCUGUUUUUAGCGAAAAAAAAAAAAAAGGGUAAAGUAUAUGUUGGUGUAAGCUUAUAAUUUAACUAGUUUGCUGCAGAAUUGUUUAUUUCACAAUUUUGUAUGUGGAUCCUAUGGCCUAAAAAUGCCAGCUGGGUACUCUGAAGCACCUCAGGCCUUCAGGCCGCUCUUGUGCUUGCAAAGGCAGCUGCCUGGUGUCCCUUGAAGCCGUCGGUGGGUGUAGGACCGGGUGUCUGCGAUGCCUUUACUCCCAUUAAGCCCACCUGAAAGCGCUCGCCGUGCUGUAAAAUUCCAGUGCCCAGCAGCCCGCUCGGCUGGUGAAGGCCUGGCGGGCUCCGUGGGGUGCGUGGCAUGGUCACGGUGUAGUGCUACCCUCGGAGUCUCGCUGUUAACCAGCCCCGCUCCUCAGCUGUCGCAAGCCGUGGAGCUCCAGUAACUCACCUGGCUCCCCGCCAUCGUAUCCGCUGACUGUCUGGUUCAUGACAUUCAAUACUUAACGUGGCCUAAACCAAAUGCUUCUUUCUAGCUCCGGUGAAUUUAAGGGGGAGCGAGGGAUACCCCUGUUCUCUCUAGUGAUAUCUGUAGCGUGGUUACUUACCCCUUUUUCCAUUAAGUCCAGCAUUGGUGGAUUUGGCCAGAAGAAGCUGCUACUUAAAAACACUUUCGAGCUGCACUGCGGAAGCCACUGCGGUCAUUAAGGUAGCACAAAUUAUCUGGAUGAUUUAUGUGGACUGAAACUUCAGGUGCAAAGCCUGUGAAAUGCUCCUGAGCCCCUCCCCUGGCAUCUGGGCAUCUUGUUUGGGGCGAUGUGGGGUUUUUGAGCAGACAUACGGGAUGCAGAGCUGGAAGAGGCCGCCUGCUGGGCUGGGCAGUGUUGCGGGGGGGUCCGCAAUGACUGACAGGCUGCCCUGGCUCAGUUAUCACAGUGCUGAUGCUGUCUCUUGUAAAGGUACAGUACUGUGAUAACUGAAGGAUGGCAGCCAUCUGAGCUUCACGGGGGCCCCGCGCCGCCGCUCCUCUCUGCCCUGGGGACAGACAGACUGACACAGCGUCCUCCUGAAGUGGAGCCUACUUCCUUUUAUGUGUACCCCUUGCAUAAAAAUCAAAGGUUAAGAAAACGUUUUAUUUGAAUAAAAUACAUACUUUCUUGA